ACUAAUUUGGCAGAUAAGUGCAUCGGAUUUAAGCCUCGAAUAUAAAAGUUCACUUUUAAUUAGUA
rnacentral:tRNA from 1 species